AUUGAACGCUGGCGGCAUGCCUUACACAUGCAAGUCGAACGGUAACAGGUCUUCGGAUGCUGACGAGUGGCGAACGGGUGAGUAAUACAUCGGAACGUGCCCAGUAAUGGGGGAUAGCCCGGCGAAGGCCGGAUUAAUACCGCAUACGCCCUGAGGGGGAAAGUGGGGGACCGCAAGGCCUCGCGUUAUUGGAGCGGCCGAUGGCUGAUUAGCUAGUUGGUGAGGUAAAGGCUCACCAAGGCGACGAUCAGUGGCUGGUCUGAGAGGACGAUCAGCCACACUGGGAAUGAGACACGGCCCAGACUCCUACGGGAGGCAGCAGUGGGGAAUUUUGGACAAUGGGGGAAACCCUGAUCCAGCAAUGCCGCGUGUGCGAAGAAGGCCUUCGGGUUGUAAAGCACUUUUGUCAGGGAAGAAAUCCUUUGGGCUAAUACCCUAGGGGGAUGACGGUACCUGAAGAAUAAGCACCGGCUAACUACGUGCCAGCCGCCGCCGUAAGAC
rnacentral:rRNA from 1 species